CCCUUAGAUGUUCUGGGCCGCACGCGCGCUACACUGAUGCAUUCAACGAGUCUAAAACCUGCUCUGAUAGGGGUGGGUAAUCUUUUGAAUGUGCAUCGUGAUUGGGAUAGAUGAUUGCAAUUUUUCAUCUUCAACGAGGAAUGCCUAGUAAACGCAAGUCAUCAGCUUGCAUUGAUUACGUCCCUGCCCUUUGUACACACCGCCCGUCGCUCCUACCGAUUGAAUGAUCCGAUGAAUAUCAUGGUUUGAGGAUGCAAGUAGGUUAGCCUAUCUUCAUCUUCGAGAAGUGAAGUAAAUCUUAUCAUUUAGAGGAAGGAGAAGUCGUAACA
rnacentral:rRNA from 1 species